rnacentral:lncRNA from 1 species
CUUGAACCUACACUUGACGGCUGCUUUAUCUGAGAUUAAAAACAUGCAGAAGGAUUGGGCGCCUGGGUCCCUGACAUUUGGGUUCCUGAUCAGUUACGGGAAUCUGUCUUGCAGCAAGUCUCCUUUUGAGGAAUGCAAAACAGAAGACACAUUCCAACCCACUGGUUUCUAACAGAAGGGAAAAGAUACGCAUUAAAUGGCUAGACACCAAGAGCACACGGGUCUGGCUUAAUGAGAUGCUGGAGAAGAUUGUUAAAUUCAAAUCCAUGUUUUCAGGAUUAAUACAGAAAAUGAAUUGUUGCUUGUUUGGUGAACAUCAAAGAUUUCCCAGAAAGAGGGCACCAUCUUGUGGUCAGUAGC